UUUUACUCAUGCGCGACACUAAAACCCCUAAUUUCUUCCCUUAAAAUCAAUAUCCUCAAAACAACCCCAAUCUCACCCCUCCGUUGCCCUUUUCAAUAAAGAAACUCUCCAACAGCAGCAUCUCCAUUGUCUAGGUGUCUCUUGCUUCCCUGGCGCUGGAGGAAGAGGUGUGGCUGCUCUCUGGCCGAUUAGCAAAGGAGAGUUGCUUCUUAAAGUUCCAAAAUCUGCCUUAAUCACAACUGACUCUCUUCUUUCAAGAGAUGAAACUUCGUCUCUUGCACUCAAAUCCCAUCCUUCUCACUCUUCUACCCAGGUAUUCACUGUUUGUUUGUUAUAUGAAAUCAAUAAAGGAAAGGCUUCUCCAUGGCACCCUUAUUUUUUGCACUUGCCUCGUAGUUAUUCCAUACUCGCCACUUUCGGUGAACUUGAAACCCAAGCCUUGCAAGUGGAUUAUGCCAUCUGGGCUGCUCAGAAAAGUGUCACAAAAGCUAAAUACUAGUGGGAACAAGCCUUCACUCUCAUGAAGGAACUUAAGCUUAAGCCUCUACUUCUCACUUUCAGGGCUUGGAUUUGGGCUACUGGGACUGUUCAGAUUAUUGCUCGGGACAAAAUAUCGCAGACUUCCGGAAAUAUAUGUUAUUUAUGCAAACAUUUCUUAGUAGGAGGAGAUUAAAAUUUUGGAGUGUCAAACAAAUAAUACUAUUUGAAAAGUUCAGAAUUGGAACAAACUGCUGCUUUAAAGUAUCUGUAUGGAUGGUUACGUCAUCACCCAGAGUAUGGUACUCUUGCGCCACUAGAGCUUGGUAAUUCUUUGUAUUAUGCAUAUGCACUAGAUUUGAAGCCAAACUAUGUGCGUGCUUGGGCAAACAUGGGUAUCAGUUAUGCCAACCAGGUUUGAGUUUUUGUUGGAUGCAUGGUUCAGAAUUAGCUGAAUUCAUGCAUUGUGGCGACUUGUUUGAGCUAAUUGCUGAUCUAAAAGUGUGUAUUCUAUCAUUAUUUUGUUCUGAUUGUAUUUUGUUAGAUUUUUGGUGUAGUAUGAUAAGUGCGGUAUUUUGUUUGAUUGUUAUUGAUAAACUUUCUAUUUGGUGGGAUAUAUAUUAUAUCAUAGAUAUUAUUCUUCUUCUCAA